UAGUUGAAGCUGGAUUUCAACUCAGGAAGAUGAGUCUUCUUGACUUCUGGCCCAAAACUCUCUCCAUUGUGCUGCCUACCAUAUGAAAUAAAUAAAGCGAUAUAUACAGAGCACAGCGCCUUCUCUGAUGAAAGCACACCAUGUGCUAGUGUUUCCUAUGUCCCAUAAUCAAUUCCAAAGUUCAUGAGAGAUCUUGAGAGUGUCCUUAAAUUGCUUUUUCUGACCACCACAUGAGUGCUUGCCCUGUGUGAGUUUGCCAUGAAAUGGUCUUUUUGGCAAGUGUACCUUUGCCAUUUAAAUAAUGUGCCCAGCCCAACUGAGCUGUCUCUCUGCCAGCUUGAGAAAGGACUAGGGGUCCGGCAUCUCAUCCUGCCAGAACCUUCCUAACACUGAGCUAGCUCUGGCACUUUGAACCUCAUUAUCAAUGUGUACAUCCCUGGAAAGUAUACUUCCAAGGUAAGUGAACUUAUCCACAACUUCUCAAUUUGCUGUAACCCAAUGGUUCCCCACAGGGAUGGUGGUGUGUUGGAUGGUGGAGUGCCUGUGUUUUUCUGGUGUUAAUUAAUUGUUAGACCAAAAUUAGCAAAAGCAGAAGAGAGAUCCAUAUUUUAUUGCAUCUUAGUUCCAGAGGCUUCAUUGAGUGAACCAUCAUCUGCAAAAAAAAUAAAAAUAAAAAAUAUAGAAUAAUAUACUUUAGUUUAGGUCUCAAGUCUUUUCAGGUUAGAGAAUGUACCACCAGUGUGGUGGCUGACCUUGAGGCUGUUAGUCCUUCCUGAAGGCAUUGACAACAUGACUGAAAACAUCAUGCUUAAAAGAAUGGGAGCAAGCCCACAGCCCUGUUUCACUCCAUCGGUGACCGGGAGAGCGUGAGCGCAUUGUCCAUUGUCCAGAACCUAGGCAAGCGUUCAAUGCUGAUGAACUUUUCCAGGCAACCAAGUUUUGACAUAAUUUCCCAUAAACUCUCUUGUUUAAUAAGUGUCUAUUUAAUGGAUUGCUUAUGCAUGACUUCUUAGUAGUGAAAUCUCUG